UACGAAGGGGGCUAGCGUUGUUCGGAAUUACUGGGCGUAAAGCGCGCGUAGGCGGAUAUUUAAGUCAGGGGUGAAAUCCCAGGGCUCAACCCUGGAACUGCCUUUGAUACUGGAUAUCUGGAGUUCGGGAGAGGUGAGUGGAAUUCCGAGUGUAGGGGUGAAAUUCGUAGAUAUUCGGAGGAACACCAGAAGCGAAGGCGGCUCACUGGCCCGAUACUGACGCUGAGGCGCGAAAGCGUGGGGAGCAAACAGG
rnacentral:rRNA from 1 species